GAAAAAGAUAAUGAGAAAUAGAUCAGGACAUAAAGAUGGAUUUCAAAUCAGGUCCUUGCAGCUCAAUCAUGGUCAAGGGAAUGAACUACAGAGAUAGUGCAAGAACAAAACUAAGAAGAAUAUUUCUGGCUUUCCAAUAAGUCUGCUGGUGACAACAAAUCAAACAGAAAAUCAUAUGGAAAUUAACCCAAAUUAUGUUUUUACCUGGUCAGAACCACUACCUAGAGUCUAAACAUUACAAGUGAAUUGUCUUCUCUUCCAAAUACUUAAAACCUGAGUGUUAGACCAUAGCACAACAAACUACCAAAGAAAUGAAAAAUAAUCAUCUACCAAGGACUUCUAAACUUAUUAGAUCCUUUGACUUUGGAUUUGAGUCCUAUUCAAUGUGUUUUAUCAAAAUUAAGCUUGUCCACCAACCAAGAAUUAAUCAGCUCACAUUUAUUUUUGUGAGAGUA
rnacentral:misc_RNA from 1 species